CUUUCAACAAAGGUUUGAUGCUGCUCCAGACCCUGAAGGAAUAUGAAACUAAAAAUGGUGCUUGGGGAGGCUUAUCAGGUUUUAAGUGAUCCUGGAAAACGUGAGACAUAUGAUAAGCAUGGAAAUUAGAAAGCAAGGCCUUUCACGGCAAGCGUGGCAGCCGUGGAAAUCGAUGAAGAAUCAUAAGUCCAGAAGUAAAGAGCCUACAAGUUGAAGAGAGGAUUAAGGCGUUACAAAGAGAAAGAGAAGAGAAGUUUAUCGAACAUCUCAUAAAGCGCCUACAGCCAUGUGUUGAGGGUAAACUAGAUGAAUUUGUUAAAUGGGCAAAUUCUGAGGCCAGUCGUUUGUCACGAGCAGGUAGACCUAGUUUCCCUUAUCCAUACUUAACACAAAAGUUUACUUAUUAAUUUUGGGCUCUCCAUCUGUUCCAUUUCUUCACAAGACGAUUGAAUCUUUUCUUUGAACCCAUUUCAUGCUAUCAUUGUUUAUAUGGGAAGUUUUGGAAUGUCCUGAAGAUUGAUCAUACUAUGAACUAUUUACAAGAGGACUCCAAAAUGAUCCUAAGUAGUUGAGGCGAGGUCUUGUACUCUUAUUGUUGCUGAUGCAGUCAAAUUGUCGUUAUUCUGCUCUCAUCUUCCUCAUUGUAGUUUGUUAUACUGGUAAUAAGUGAGUGAGGGUGUUGGCAUUGCUUAUUGGUUAUUAAAAAAAAAAAGUGUUCUGUGGAAUUCUGGAUGUUUGGGUAAUCGAUUCGAGAAAAUACUUUUAAGAAGAGCAAAAUGCAAAACCAAGAAAGCACAAAAAAAAGUAGCAUGGAGAAGUCAGAUUCUUUGGCUUCUCUCAACCGUGGAAGCGGAAAUCCAUUCGGGUAAUGAAUCAUAUCUAAACUUCUCUCUUAUUUUAUACUCUCCAUUUUUGCCUCAUAGACCUUAUCUAAACGUUCUCUCAUAUAUCCAUUCUUAUCUAAACUUCUCCAAACAAAUAUAUUUUACAAUAUUUAACUUUCUUGUAGGUACCUAAAUUUGAAGGUUAAGAACAUCUUAUCCUUAUAAAAUAUUUUCUUAAAAGUACUUUUGGAGAAGUCCUUCUACAAAAGAACUUAUCUAUAAGCAAAAGCUAAGCCAGCUUUUGGGGAGACAAUGCUUCAUACUAUUGGAUAUAUUUAUUCAAAACAGGCUUCUAGAGCGCUUGGAAAGAAAAUUAUUUUGAUGGAUGUCCCAUUUAUAGCUGAGUGGGUUCGUGAUAAAGG